UGGGGAAUUUUGGACAAUGGGCGCGAGCCUGAUCCAGCAAUGCCGCGCGCAGGAUGAAGGCCUUCGGGUUGUAAACUGCUUUUGUACGGAGCGAAAAGGUCUGCCCUUAUACGGUGGGCUCAUGACGGUACCGUAAGAAUAAGCACCGGCUAACUACGUGCCAGCAGCCGCGGUAAUACGUAGGGUGCAAGCGUUAAUCGGAAUUACUGGGCGUAAAGCGUGCGCAGGCGGUUAUGCAAGACAGAGGUGAAAUCCCCGGGCUCAACCUGGGAACUGCCUUUGUGACUGCAUAGCUAGAGUACGGUAGAGGGGGAUGGAAUUCCGCGUGUAGCAGUGAAAUGCGUAGAUAUGUGGAGGAACACCGAUGGCGAAGGCAGCCCCCUGGGUCAAGAUUGGCGCUCAUGCACGAAAGCGUGGGGAGCAAAC
rnacentral:rRNA from 1 species